GGGGAGAGGAGUCGCUGCACCAGAUGGGCCUUUCACUGUCUCCUUGUUCCGAAAUGAGAUGCAGGGAUGUCUCGACUGGGAAGCGGUCCAGAUCCGCUCUGGGAAGGUGUACUGCUCCACACUGCCUGCAUUAAUACCACCCGCACGCUCUGGCCUGUCCCUGGGCCCAGACUCACCAGCAGCACUGCAUAUGGCUUUUGAACGUACCGAGACCAGGACAGGGAGGAAUUGGCUCAUGUGGGGCUGAAAUGGGUUGGAUUUGGCUUAGACUCGAACUACCCAGGACCUUCAGCAGCUCUGGAAAAUUUUCAGCCCUGGUGCUGGUCUCCACUGCAACUUUCCUCUCCGUACUUGCUUGAGCACAGUGCUGAAGACCAGACAGUGGCUCUCCAGGCAUAUAUGUAUCUGGGUGAUGUUGUGCAGCAAGUGACAGUGUCUAGGAAACAUCCCCAGAACAUCACAAAAAUAUCUGCGCUCCUGAUUUGGGGAGAGGAUGUGCUGCAUGGCCCAGAGGAAGCUCACGAGCAUCUCUCACCUGAGGAACCAGCCACCAAAUUUGUCGACAGUUUACAUGGUACACAGGAGGCAACUCUGCCCUGGGCAGAUGCUGCUCAGACACCUGGCCCUGGCAAUGCCUCCACCCGUAGCUGCUCAUACCAGACCUGUCAAGCAAGCAAACAGCAGCAAGAGAGCAAAAGACACAGAGCCUUGGUGCUGUUGUGGAGCAGAUGCCUCCAAAAGGGCAAGAACAUGGCUCAGGGGCCAUGUGACUCGGGGUGAACCGAAUCCGCACGUUUUAAUUAAAAUGGCUAUCAUCCACAUUUUGUUUUCUUUAUAAACAUUUGCAGAGUAUCAGUAGCCAAUCUAAAUGUCUCAGCAGACGAGUACAUACUGUACUUCGGCUCUUUUUUUCUAGAGUGCUGGAGAAAACACAUGAGCUGGAGCCAGCUGAUGUGCUCUCCAUGGG
rnacentral:lncRNA from 1 species